rnacentral:misc_RNA from 1 species
CUUCCUCUCUCUCCAUCCAGAUCGCAUCAAGGUUGUUAGCGGAUCAUGGUUCUACCACAGAACAACGCCGCUCACAUGGAGGAGGGGACCUUGGAGGUCGGCAUGGAGUACAGGACCGUCAGUGGGGUUGCUGGUCCUUUGGUUAUCCUGGAAAAAGUUAAGGGCCCGAAGUACCAAGAAAUUGUUAACAUUCGAUUGGGAGACGGAACAACUCGACGUGGUCAGGUUCUGGAAGUUGAUGGGGAAAAGGCCGUUGUUCAGGUUUUCGAAGGGACAUCAGGCAUUGAUAACAAAUUUACCACUGUUCAAUUCACUGGGGAGGUUCUAAAAACUCCAGUUUCACAAGAUAUGCUUGGGCGCAUCUUCAAUGGUUCUGGGAAACCAAUAGAUAACGGACCACCAAUCUUGCCCGAGGCAUACUUAGAUAUUUCGGGAAGUUCAAUUAAUCCCAGUGAGAGGACCUAUCCUGAAGAGAUGAUUCAGACUGGAAUUUCCACCAUUGACGUCAUGAACUCCAUUGCUCGAGGACAGAAAAUACCUCUUUUUUCUGCAGCUGGGCUGCCUCAUAAUGAAAUUGCUGCUCAGAUUUGUCGUCAGGCUGGUCUUGUGAAGCGCCUUGAGAAAUCUGACAAUCUCCUCGAGCACGGAGGAGAGGAUGAUAAUUUUGCAAUCGUGUUCGCAGCUAUGGGAGUAAACAUGG